rnacentral:lncRNA from 1 species
AUGCCUUUUGAAUGGCCUUUCUCAUCCAGGCAUGUCUGUUUAAUUGUUAUUAUACCUCAUGUGCGCCCCGUCCAAUGGAAACCAGCCUACGGCGGUGGGAUUUGGUGUUGCUUUUCCCCAAGGUCAAACCGCACACAGCUGUUCCUGCUGAGGCGUCUUCAGCUCCCAGCUGCUGCCCUGCGUUUACGUUACGUUAGAGAUGUUCUCUCGUUGCCCAGUCCAGAGAGCUUGCUGUUCAGCCAAAAGAAAUCCUGCGGGAAAGGGGUCGGCAUGAACGGCCUCGCCUCACGUGCGUGGCUGCCAGGCACCUCCUUCUCAGGGCAAACCAGUGCCAUUGGUGAGAAAAAACCCACAACUUUGGGGGAGCCCCUGGUCCCCUGCUUUUGAAACAUGAAGAAAUUUACCAGAAAGUCACCAAGAAUAUGAUACGGACUUUUCUCUGGGGUUGACAUACAUUGAUUACCGACCAUCAGGAAAACAAAGGACAACCUGUGCAAGCUACAGUGCCUUAGGAAAGCAUAGGAUCCCUUUCUCUACUAUUAUGAUGCUGAGGGCUCUUUAAAUGGAUUGAGUUUCACAAGGAAAAAAAGGAGAGAAGGAAAAGAGGAAGAAGGGAAGAAAAUCUUUUUUUAAAAAAAGAUUUUUUUUUUAAUCUGAAAGGCAGAGUUACAGACAGAGAGAGAGAGAGACGGAGAGAAAGGUCUUCCAUCCACUGGGUCACUCCUCAAAUGCCUUCAAAAAUGGGAGCUGGGUCAAUCUGAAGCCAGGAGCCAGGAGCUUCUUGCCUGGAACAAAGGAUGACAGGUACAUUCAAGAGCGCAUAUAAGGCUCUGAGGGGAACCACAGGUAAAAUCCGGGGGAAUUAAGACAUUUGUAAGUAGCUAUAGAAAUGGAGUAUUCAAAAAGCCACACGCAACCAGCUUAGGCAAGAUGCAUGUUCAGAAACAACCUGAGAAAACUGUAAACUUUCCCUUCAGGCUGAUACAAAGAUUCAGAACACACCUGAAUUCUUUCUUUUUUUUUAGAAGAUUUAUUUAUUUAUUUAUUUGAAAGUCAGAGUUACACAGAGAGAGAAGGAGAGGCAGAGAGAGAGAGAGAGAGGUCUUCCAUCUGCUGGUUCACUCCCCAGUUGGCUGCAAUGUCCAGAGCUACACUGAUCUGAAGCCAGGAGCAAGGAGCAUCUUCUGGGUCUCCCAUGUGGGUGCAGGGUACCAGGGACUUGGGCCAUCUUCCACUGCUUUCCCAGGCCAUAGUAGAGAGCUGGAUCAGAAGUGGAGCAGCUGGGAAUUGAACCUGCGCCCAUAUGGGAUGCUGGCAAUGCAGAUGGGAGCCUCACCCGCUACACCACAGCACCAGCCCCCUUACCUGACUUCUUAGAUGAAGGCUUCCCUGGCACAAUCAGUCUGUAAUGAACGCCAGGUUUUCAACAACAAAUCACAAAGGCACACAACAGGGAAAGAUGAUCCAAUCAAAAGAAGAAAAUAAAAGGGAGAGACUAUUCCUGAAGAAACA